AACGAACGCUGGCGGCAUGCCUAACACAUGCAAGUCGAACGAGACCUUCGGGUCUAGUGGCGCACGGGUGCGUAACGCGUGGGAACCUGCCCUUAGGUUCGGAAUAACUCCCCGAAAGGGGUGCUAAUACCGGAUAAUGUCUUCGGACCAAAGAUUUAUCGCCGUUGGAUGGGCCCGCGUUGGAUUAGCUAGUUGGUAGGGUAAAAGCCUACCAAGGCGACGAUCCAUAGCUGGUCUGUGAGGAGGAUCAGCCACACUGGGACUGAGACACGGCCCAGACUCCUACGGGAGGCAGCAGUGGGGAAUAUUGGACAAUGGACGAAAGCCUGAUCCAGCAAUGCCGCGUGAGUGAUGAAGGCCUUAGGGUUGUAAAGCUCUUUUACCCGGGAUGAUAAUGACAGUACCGGGAGAAUAAGCACCGGCUAACUCCGUG
rnacentral:rRNA from 1 species